rnacentral:lncRNA from 1 species
CUCAACCACUCUUGCUUUGCAUUUGAGAAUUUAAGUCACUUGACCAAAGUCAGACAACAGUGAUUAUAUUACUACAGUGAUUCUGGAGUGUUCUCAACAAAUAAUAACCUCAGAAACAAGUAGGCACUUGGAGACAUUGGGCUGUGGAUUCAGGUUGCCUAGGUUUGAAUCCUAGUCCCAACAUUUACUAAGGCUCUCUGAUAGUGGGCACAUUAUUUAACUUCCUCAGACCUGUUUCCCCAUCUACAAAAUUGGAUUACCUAUGCUCCAAGGUUUGUGAUCUAGAAUUCAACUAAUAAAUUCAGGCAAAUUAUUCCAAUUAUAUUAAGCACUAGUACUCAAAGCUGACAUUUGAGGCUCAAAUGGAGUGUCUUCUUAGCUUUUGUCUCCUGUCAUUUCAGCCCUAAGCCGAAAUCCAAAAAUAAUGGGAAAAUUCUAUGCCCUGAUAUAACACAGAAUUAUAAAGGAAGCUACAAUAUCCCAUACUCCUUGCUUCAUACUCUAGAAUCCAUUUAAAUGAGGUUUAAAAUUGUUCCGGUUGAGUCAUUCCUUCCAGUCAAGGCAUAUUCUAUCUGAAGGACUCAAAUUAAUUAGCUACAGUUAACAGAUUAUUAAGUCAACUGGCUUCUACGGAGAUGGUGAGAGAGGCCAUGUGGGUACACCAUGAGAAGUCUGUCAUCUACAGGAAAGGAAGAGAGCCCUCCCAGGAAACUGACUUUGCCAGACUUUGACCUGGAACGUCUAUUCUCCAGAACUGGCUCCUUCUUCAUAGGCUGGGGGUGUAUACAAAGAGGAUAAUGGCAUUAAACCAGCAAGGAAGUGUUGCUCUCCAGGAUAGAAUGUACGAUUAGUAGAUGAGAAACUGAGACUCAUGGAGCCUCAACAUGAAGAUGAUGAAAAUGGAGACCUUCAUCGUGAUCCACUUCUAAUUAAUGAAUAGGAGGCUUGGGCCGAACUGGGUGAUCAGACAUCAUACACAGAGAAGGAGCAAGAGAGAGAUUACACAGAGGAGGAACAAGGUGUGCAGCGGACAGCCAGUGCCAAGACCUC